GGCAGCAUGGCCUAGUGGAUAGAGCCCUGGCCUGAGAGUCAGAGAACCUGGGUUUUAAUCCCAGUUUUGCCG
rnacentral:tRNA from 1 species